rnacentral:rRNA from 1 species
UAGGGAAUCUUCGGCAAUGGACGGAAGUCUGACCGAGCAACGCCGCGUGAGUGAAGAAGGUUUUCGGAUCGUAAAGCUCUGUUGUUAGAGAAGAACGUUUGUAGGAGUGGAAAAUCUACCAAGUGACGGUAACUAACCAGAAAGGGACGGCUAACUACGUGCCAGCAGCCGCGGUAAUACGUAGGUCCCGAGCGUUGUCCGGAUUUAUUGGGCGUAAAGCGAGCGCAGGCGGUUCUUUAAGUCUGAAGUUAAAGGCAGUGGCUUAACCAUUGUACGCUUUGGAAACUGGAGGACUUGAGUGCAGAAGGGGAGGGAGGAAUUCCAUGUGUAGCGGUGAAAUGCGUAGAUAUAGGGAGGAACACCGGUGGCGAAAGCGGCUCUCUGGUCUGUAACUGACGCGGAGGCUCGAAAGCGAGGGGAGCAAAAAGG